rnacentral:lncRNA from 1 species
AUUAUCUCCUUCAUUACAUUUUGAACAUUUAUGAUUUGGAUAUUUAUGUCCAAUUAUCUUCUUCUGAAAUAAAUUUUUUUUCAAUAGCUCUGGCGAUAGGUUCCGUCUCUGGUUUGAGCAACGUCAAAAUCCAUUGCCUAAUAGUUUCCAUAUCUGUUUCUCGUAAUUCUUUUGAAUUUGAAUAUAUUAGUACAUGAUUUCUUGAAUAAUAAUUUCAUAUGGGAUUUUGGUUGCGGUAUGUGUUUGCUAGCUCUUGCAAAAUUAUAGAUAGUCCGAUAAUCUUCUUAUU